rnacentral:rRNA from 1 species
AGUGACGACUCUCGGCAACGGAUAUCUCGGCUCUCGCAUCGAUGAAGAACGUAGCGAAAUGCGAUACUUGGUGUGAAUUGCAGAAUCCCGUGAACCAUCGAGUCUUUGAACGCAAGUUGCGCCCGAAGCCGUCAGGCCGAGGGCACGCCUGCCUGGGUGUCACGC